UUUGGUGGCGCUAGCGGAGGGGUUCCACACGUACCCAGCCCGAACACGGCCGUUAAGCCCUCCAGCGCCGAUGGUGCUUGGACCGCAGGGUCCUGGGAGAGUAGGACGCCGCCAAGC
rnacentral:rRNA from 1 species